GGAAAAGCUCUUGUCCAGAUCUCUUCAAAGAGGUGAAGAUCUUCAGUUUGAUCAGUUGAUAAGCUCUAUGAGCUCAGUAGCAGAGCACUGUCUCCCCUCCUUAUUACGCACCUUGUUUGACUGGUACAGGCGUCAAAAUGGAGCAGAAGAUGAAUCUUAUGAAUAUAGACCUCGAUCUAGCACAAAAUCAAAGGGGGAUGACCAACAACGUGAAAGAGAUUAUCUACUUGAAAGGAGGGACUUAGCUGUAGAUUUCAUUUUUUGUUUAGUUUUAAUAGAGGUUCUAAAACAGGUA